rnacentral:tRNA from 1 species
GUUGUGACCCAAUGGUAUAGUGCUUGCCUAGCACACGUGAGGCACUGGGUUCGAUCCUCAGCACAACA